rnacentral:rRNA from 1 species
GAAUAUUGGACACUGGGCGGAAGCCUUAUCCAUCCAUGCCGCUUGUGUGAAGAAGGCCUUUUGGUUGUAAAGCACUUUAAGCGCGGAGGAGGAGCUAUUGUGCAAUACCCAAUAUGCUUGGACGUUACUCGCCGAAUAAGCACCUGCUAACUUUGUCCCAGCCCCCGCGGUAAUACAGAGGGUGCAAGCGUUAAUCGGAUUUACUGGGCGUAAAGCGCGCGUAGGUGGCCAAUUAAGUCAAAUGUGAAAUCCCCGAGCUUAACUUGGGAAUUGCAUUCGAUACUGGUUGGCUAGAGUAUGGGAGAGGAUGGUAGAAUUCCAGGUGUAGCGGUGAAAUGCGUAGAGAUCUGGAGGAAUACCGAUGGCGAAGGCAGCCAUCUGGCCUAAUACUGACACUGAGGUGCGAAAGCAUGGGGAGCAAACA